rnacentral:lncRNA from 1 species
GAUUAAUGUACUUUCUGAGUUCCAGUUCCAGUUAGAAAAGCCACAGGAAGGAGAGGGGUUGGUGGCAUUGAGGAUGAUGCCCCAGUCACUGGAAGUCCCUGUGGCUGUUGGGUGGGUAAUCGGGUUGGUGCCUCAGGAUACAGUUCCCUCCCCUCCUGGUGUGUAGACAGCUGGGUGUAGUCAUUAAAGUGGGGCCACUCUCAGAAUAAAUGUGCAGAUUGGCUGGAUCUCAGUUUCAGGGAGAGGACAGGAGGAAGCCACAGAGACUGAAUUGUUAACUCCCUGACAUUUUCCUCCUUUGUCAGUACAAUUUAACUUCCAUGAGGACAGUGAUUUUUUUCCUUCUUGUCUAGCCCCACAACCUGU